CGCGCAGGUGGUUUCUUAAGUCUGAUGUGAAAGCCCACGGCUCAACCGUGGAGGGUCAUUGGAAACUGGGAGACUUGAGUGCAGAAGAGAAAGUGGAAUUCCAUGUGUAGCGGUGAAAUGCGUAGAGAUAUGGAGGAACACCAGUGGCGAAGGCGACUUUCUGGUCUGUAACUGACACUGAGGCGCGAAAGCGUGGGGAGCAAACAGGAUUAGAUACCCUGGUAGUCCACGCCGUAAACGAUGAGUGCUAAGUGUUAGAGGGUUUCCGCCCUUUAGUGCUGAAGUUAACGCAUUAAGCACUCCGCCUGGGGAGUACGGCCGCAAGGUUGAAACUCAAAAAAUUGACGG
rnacentral:rRNA from 1 species